CCUGGGGAGCGUCGGGUUCAUUCACCCUGGUACCUGGGGAGCGUCAGGUUCAUUCACCCUGGUACCUGGGGAGCGUCGGGUUCAUUCACCCUGGUACCUGGGGAGCGUCGGGUUCAUUCACCCUGGUACCUGGGGAGCGUCAGGUUCAUUCACCCUGGUACCUGGGGAGCGUCGGGUUCAUUCACCCUGGUACCUGGGGAGCGUCAGGUUCAUUCACCCUGGUACCUGGGGAGCGUCGGGUUCAUUCACCCUGGGGAGCGUCAGGUUCAUUCACCCUGGUAGUGGAGCGUCGGGUUCAUUCACCCUGGUACCUGGGGAGCGUCAGGUUCAUUCACCCUGGUACCUGGGGAGCGUCGGGUUCAUUCACCCUGGUACCUGGGGAGCGUCAGGUUCAUUCACCCUGGUACCUGGGGAGCGUCGGGUUCAUUCACCCUGGUACCUGGGGAGCGUCAGGUUCAUU